rnacentral:tRNA from 1 species
GCCUGGGUGGCUCAGUGGUUGAGCGUCUGCCUUCGGCUCAGGUCGUGAUCCCAGGGUCCUGGGAUUGAGUCCCACAUCAGGCU